GGGGCUGUGGCUCAAUGGUAAAGCAUCUGCUUAGCAUGCAGAAGGUCCUAGGUUCAAUCCCUAGCACCUCCA